UAAUGCUGGUCAAUGGUUGUAUCUAAA
rnacentral:piRNA from 1 species